UGAGGAAUAUUGGUCAAUGGGGGCAACCCUGAACCAGCCAAGUCGCGUGAAGGAUGAAGGUCUUAUGGAUUGUAAACUUCUUUUACACGGGAAUAAAGUGGGGGACGUGUCCCCCUUUGCAUGUACCGUGUGAAUAAGGAUCGGCUAACUCCGUGCCAGCAGCCGCGGUAAUACGGAGGAUCCGAGCGUUAUCCGGAUUUAUUGGGUUUAAAGGGUGCGCAGGCGGGAUGUUAAGUCGGCGGUGAAAUUUUGCAGCUCAACUGUAAAAGUGCCCUCGAUACUGGCCUCCUUGAGUGUGGAUGAAGUAGGCGGAAUUUGUGGUGUAGCGGUGAAAUGCUUAGAUAUCACGAGGAACUCCGAUUGCGCAGGCAGCUUACUAGGCCACAACUGACGCUCAUGCACGAAGGCGUGGGGAUCAAACA
rnacentral:rRNA from 1 species